rnacentral:lncRNA from 1 species
CGGAGAUGGCUCUCAGAUCUCUCCAGCUGGUUCAGAAAGCCCUGAGAUGCCUCACAUGAGCUUAGGAGCUAGUACUCUCUGCCAGACUGCCCUCUCUUCCUCCCUCUGCCAUUCUCUCCUACAUCUCCCUGAUUCCAGAAGGAGGCAGACUUUUAAGAAGUGGCUUCUUAUUCCUCAUGCAAAGAGAACUGGGUCUUUCCUGAGUCUUGGCUACAUCUCCAUUCUUGGUUUCUGUGCAAGAUCUCUGAGUCCUUUUAAUAAAUCCACUCUGUGUGAAUACUAAAAGGAAAAUGGAAAGGAGGGCAAAUAGAAUUAGCUGAUUUUCUCAUGAGGAAUCACAGUACCAACAAGAGCUCAGAUUAACCAUAGCUGUGUGUGUGGCCAGGUGGGAGACAUGGUAACUGUAAGCAGACAUAGGCAGAUGGAUGUCUGCACAAGGAAGUGUCCACUUCUCUUCAUUCAUGAAGGGAAACUAAAUCUAACUUAUCUAACAGAAUGCUGAACAUUGUGGGAGGACAGUUGAAUGAACUGUCAAACACUCUGAAGCCUCACCAUAAUGCAGACUGGGAGUUUUUCUACAGGAAUAUGUAUUCUGACAUUUCUGAGAAUUAAAAUUU